UAAGCCUAGACUUGAAGGAAGAGUAGGAAUUCUCCAGUAACUGGGAUGAGGAUGGAAAGAACUGUUUUCUGUAUGAAUAGGAAAUGUGCUGAGGCUGGAGGGUUGGAUUUGAGAGUGCAUAAUGAUUUCACAGAAUUCAGUCAUUCAGUGUGACUUGGAUGAGAUAUCACAGGUGGAGAGAUACACAGCUGAGUAUCAGGAGACAAAGCUGGCAGGAGGUGCAGGGCCAGAUUGUGAAUGACAAUCUAAGCCUCUCAAACAGUUUGGGUUUUAUGCUUCUCAACUCACUUAGGAAAGACAGAGUUUAUGUCUAUCAAUCACACACAAUUGUUAAAAUUAAGGAUCAGAUCAUAGAAAUGAAUCACCUGAAGCCAGAUUCUGCAGCCAAAUUUGGCUAAAGAAGCAACGGGGUGGAAGAAAGAGAAAUGAUGGAAAGCAUUUAAGAGUGCAAUUUGCUUUUCUCACCUGAAGGUGCUGGUGCAAGUUAGGCUUCUGAGCCUCUCCAACAGGCAUCUUGUGCUCUGAUCCUCACCACCCAUCAAUCAAAGAACAGCCCUGCCUAUCCCACUUCAUAGUUAUGAAGACUGAUGUGGUUUUGCUGUGCCCCCACCCAAGUCUCAUCUUGAAUUGUAGUUACCAUAAUACCCACGUGUCAUGGGGGGGUGCCUCGAGGCAAGUGAUUAGAUUAUGGGGCAGUCCCCCCAUGCUGUUCUCAUGAUACUCAGUGAAUUCUCAUGAGAUCUGAUGGUUUUAUAAGGGGCUUUCCCCCAUUUCACUCUGCACUUCUCUUUCCUGCUGCUAUGUGAAGAAGGAUGUGUUUGCUUCUCCUUCCACCAUGAUUGUAAGUUUCCUGAGGCCUCCCCAGCCAUCCGGAACUGUGAGUCAAUUAAAUCUCUUUCCUUUAUAAAUUAGCUGGUCUUGGGUACGUCUUCAUAGCAGCAUGAGAAUGGACUAAUACAAAGACCAAAUGAAUAGUGACUGGAAAAGGACUAUGCACUUAUUUAUCCCCUCUCUCCUUGUAGGUCUCUAGCUUGAGAUAGUGAUAUCACUCUAUGGCCCACAUACUCAGAGGUUUUAUUCUUCAGAAGCCAAGAGAUUCUUUCUCUGACAGAGUUUCCCAUGGCCUGGAAGAUAACCUAUGACUCUCUAAUCCACUGCCAAAUCUGUCCCUUUAGAAACUGCUAAUCUCUGCUCUGACAGGCCAUACGGCUCAUCUUGCCACAAGACCUCACUUGUCCAAUUGUCAUGCCACCUGCUGUGGUUCUUCAAGGGAGAACAUGCUCAUAUAUUCUUAGCCAAGCCAGGCAAAGAGGUCGCCAGUGUGGAGUUCUCUAUUUGAAAAUCCUCAUGCUCAGCUCUCUCAGAUGACUCUGAAGGUCUCUGAAGUUGGCCCCCUCUGCAUAG